GUGCUCGAUCUGCUGCGGGCAGAUGAAAUGGAUAUGGCUGUCGAAACCGCCGGCGGUGAGGAUCUUGCCCUCGCCCGCGAUGACGUCGGUGCCGGGACCGACAUUGAUCGUCACGCCCGGCUGGAUAUCGGGAUUGCCGGCCUUGCCGAUGGCGUGGACCAUGCCGCCUUUGAGCGCCACGUCGGCCUUCACGAUGCCCCAGUGAUCGACGAUCAGCACGUUGGUGAUGACGGUAUCGACCGCGCCCUGCGCGCGUGUCGCCUGCGACUGCCCCAUGCCGUCGCGGAUCAC
rnacentral:sRNA from 1 species